AUACAUGCAAGUCGAGCGAACGGAUGAGAAGCUUGCUUCUCUGAUGUUAGCGGCGGACGGGUGAGUAACACGUGGAUAACCUACCUAUAAGACUGGGAUAACUUCGGGAAACCGGAGCUAAUACCGGAUAAUAUUUUGAACCGCAUGGUUCAAAAGUGAAAGACGGUCUUGCUGUCACUUAUAGAUGGAUCCGCGCUGCAUUAGCUGGUUGGUAAGGUAACGGCUUACCAAGGCAACGAUGCAUAGCCGACCUGAGAGGGUGAUCGGCCACACUGGAACUGAGACACGGUCCAGACUCCUACGGGAGGCAGCAGUAGGGAAUCUUCCGCAAUGGGCGAAAGCCUGACGGAGCAACGCCGCGUGAGUGAUGAAGGUCUUCGGAUCGUAAAACUCUGUUAUUAGGGAAGAACAUAUGUGUAAGUAACUGUGCACAUCUUGACGGUACCUAAUCAGAAAGCCACGGCUAACUACGUGCCAGCAGCCGCGGUAAUACGUAGGUGGCAAGCGUUAUCCGGAAUUAUUGGGCGUAAAGCGCGCGUAGGCGGUUUUUUAAGUCUGAUGUGAAAGCCCACGGCUCAACCGUGGAGGGUCAUUGGAAACUGGAAAACUUGAGUGCAGAAGAGGAAAGUGGAAUUCCAUGUGUAGCGGUGAAAUGCGCAGAGAUAUGGAGGAACACCAGUGGCGAAGGCGACUUUCUGGUCUGUAACUGACGCUGAUGUGCGAAAGCGUGGGGAUCAAACAGGAUUAGAUACCCUGGUA
rnacentral:rRNA from 1 species